UGAUAGAUUCCGGAGCAGGCGGAAACUUUAUGGACAUUAAAUUUGCAGCAGAAAAUAAAAUUCAGUCUAUCCCUAAAUCUUCACCUGUGUUAAUGGAAACAGUAGACGGUUCUCCACUUACGUCAGGCCCGGUUACACAUGAGACUGUGCCCUUAAAAUUGAUUCUGGAAGUGAAUCACCAUGAGUCUAUAUCUUUCCACCUAAUUUCCUCAACACAGUUCCCAGUGAUUUUGGGUAUACCCUGGCUUGCUCUGCAUAACCCACAGAUUGAUUGGAAGACUAGAACUUUGUCCUUUCCUUCAGAACACUGCUUAAUGAAUUGUCAACCCUCUAAGGCGACACCUGUUACCACAACAAUUAAUGAAAUGGUUGCUACAAACUUAACCAAGCUUCCGCUACA